GUAGGGCUGGAUCAGGCGGAAGCCGGGGCCCGGGGCUGGGCUUCGUGUCCUGCGUUCCGGGAGCGCCAACCCCUCCAGCAGAGGGGACGUGGCUGGUGGCUGGAGAAGCUGGAUUUGCCCUUUGAUGGUGGCCCUCUUGAUCCCCGGCUUGCUGAAGUCAAAGGUCUCACUCUGUUGCCCAGGCUGGAGUUCAGUGGCGCAAUUUCAGCAACCUCAACCUCCCUGUCUCAAGUGAUCCUUCCACCUCACCUCUGGAGUAGCUGGGACUACACGUGUUCACCACCACCCCCAGCUAAUUUUUGUAUUUUUUGUAGAGAUGGGUCUUGUUAUAUUGCCCAGGCUGGUCUUGAACUCCUGGGCUCAAGCUAUCCACCUGCCGUGGCCUCCCAAAGUGCUAGAUUAUAGGUGUGAGCUACCAUGCCCAGCUAUAAAUUUAUUUUUUAAAAUGUUAAAUCAGCCUUGCGUUACUGGGAUAAACCUCAUUUGGUUGUGAUAUAUUACCCUUUUUCUAUGUUGUUGAAUCUGAUUGGCUUUUUUUCAGAAUUUUCACAUGCAUAUUCAUGAGGGAUAUCGGUGUAUAAUUUUCUUUUCUUGUAAUGUCUUUGUUAGGUUUUGAUAGGGAGGAUGGCUUCGGCCCGGGAGGCAGACGUUGCAGUGAGCCGAGAUGGUGCCAUUGCACUCCAGCCUGGGUGACAGAGCAAGACUCUGUCUCAAAAAAAAAAAAAAAAGGAGAUGAGGUCUCAGUAUGUUGCCCAGGCUGGUCUCAAACUCCUGAGCUCAAGCGAUCUUCCCAUCUUGGCCUCCCAGAGUGUUGGGAUUACAGGCGUGAGCCACCAUGCCUGGCCUAAUUUCUUACCUCAAAUUCAUAUCUUGUAUGUCCAGACUCUUAAGUGUGGCUGCCACGGUUCUGCCUGUCUGACCCCUGUCUCCCUUUCUAGUCUGUCAUCUCUCCAUACCCCACUCUCCUCGCCCUAUUCAUCCUUCAUCCUUUCACCCAAAUGAGAAACCUGGGUCAUUUGUGACUCCUCCUCCCUCCGCAGCUACUGCCCUCCUACCCCUGAUGCUGUCCUCAUCUCCCAGUACCAGAGCCAGCACACACCCAUGACUUCCUACCCUUUGGCACUUGGUGCUGAGUGCUUUGCACAUUCAGUCUUCAUACCUACCCUAUGCCCAGUUGGCCACGGCUCUCCUCUCACAGAUGAGGAAACGUGUAUGAGGUCAUGCAGCUAUUAAGAGCAGCACACGACCCAAAGGCAGGUCUGGCUGGCUCCAAACUCUGGGAUGCUACUCACUGCACUGUCUUAAAUCUCUUUAGUCUUCCAGUGGGACCACUGCAACUAUGUCCCCCUCCAACCUGGAUUUUCAAUGACCUCAGAGUGAGCCUGCUACAUCUCACUUGUCUCCGGUUACCCCCAGACUCCAUGUGGCCUCUUGGUCUGAUCUCUACCUUCAUUUUUCAUCUCUUGGCAUCCAGCUUCCUGUCCCUCACCCUAAGCCGAAGCUACCCCCAGAGUACCGCAGGCCUUUCUGCACCCAGUGCCUUUGCAAAUGCUAUUUCUUAUACCUGGAAAGCCUUCUUCUGGCAAAGUCCUACUCAUGCCUGAAAGCCCAAUUCAAAUAAUCAGUGUAAUCCUCUCCAUGACAGACCUGG
rnacentral:lncRNA from 1 species